UAUGUUGAAAAAUCAAUUAGGCUAGGCUUCCAGCUGAGCAUCAUUUUCUCUUUUAUGGAUGGUGACAAGACUAACUUGUUAUAAUAAGAAACUUUUAAUUGUUUUCUGGGAGUGCAAUUUCAAGUAAAAACACCUGGUAGUUGACAGAAAGCCGUUCAUCAGUAUUUGGAGGGUUUCUUGGGACAGAGGCAAUGUGAUAAGCAGGCUUCGGUCUUCCUGUGUGGUUGCCUUCUUUGAGGCUUGUGAAGGCAAUUGUACGACAGCUACUUUCAGACCUCCAAUUUGUGUGUUAAGCUCAUUUUCUUUUGGGUCUGUGUUGUCUUUCUCAAAACCCAUAACUUUCUUCCUGCAUCCAUGAUCUGUGUGGCUGCCUCAGUCCAGAUCCACAUCUUUUAUUGCCUGGAGCCUGAUUUCCAAAUGCACUUACUUACAGUCCAGUUUCCAGUGCAGCCCACUUGCUACUAUAGUCAAUCGGAUCCUUU
rnacentral:lncRNA from 1 species